CAAAUUAUUCUUAAAGUUAAGGAUUUCAUUUACACUGAAAUAAAUAUUGUGCAAUUCAAUGUGAUUUGA
rnacentral:tRNA from 1 species